ensembl:lncRNA
AAACCCACCAGGCCAUGUGAGUGGGAGUCCUCAACUUGGCUCAGCUGUCCAGGCAAACCCAGCAGCGGAUGGGCCUCCUGGUCCUUCUUACCAAUGUCUUUCGUCCUCCAGGUGCUGCCGGCAGCCUUGAGGUGCAGGGGCCCUGCCUCCCACUCCAGGGCAGCCUGCUGAAGCCCAUGGUUCCCAGCUGCCUGUUGGCUGGCCUAGAAGCUGUGGCCCCACUCUGCGAUUCUGGGUCUUGGCUGGAAGUUUCAGAAGCACACGCAGCAGUGACUUCCUCCUUGCGGUGGCGACUGGAUCAGCAACUGCCAGGACAGUAAUGAGAUCCCCCAAGAACGGUUGCUGGCAGCCCACUACCGCUGUUGCUGGGGGCUGAGGGUUGAGUGGGUCUGAGUGCUUGCCUGUGAGCAAUUCAGAGCCCCAAGAGAUUCCCAAAGAAACUGCUGCUCUGAGGUUAUUCAUCUGAUGGGAAGACGCUGGUGAGAAAAGACAACAUUUCUGACUCCAGAGACAUCCCUGGCCCUUUCUACUGUGCAAGGACAUAGUGAGAAGGUACCAGCUAUGAACCAAGAAGUGGGCCCUCACAAGAACCUGACCAUGCUGGCACUCUGAUCUUGGGUUUCCAGUUUCCAGAACUGUGAGAAAUAAAUUCCUGUUGUUAUAAGCAACAUUCCUUUGACAGACGAGAAAAUGGACCUACUGACUUUGUGACUUUCCUGAAGCCACAUAGAAGACGAGAUCUUAGUUCUCUUGGGCACAGAUCCAGGGCUCUUUCCAGCCUGCCCUACUCUGUCAGGAGUCAGAAAGGAGUGCAGGCUGACCUGCUCUCCUCAGAAACUUGCCUGCAGAGUCACAAAGUCUCCUCUCACAGAUUCAUCCCCUGUGAACACACAUUGCAGAAGGUGAUUCAGAAGUUUCAAGUCGAACAUCACAAAGUGGUUGUAAUUGAUGGAUAUCCAUAACCCACGAUGGUGGGUGGCUGUCCUUUUGUUUAUUCUUUCUAGUCUUUUAAGGCAAUGGCACCCCACUCCAGUACUCUUGCCUGGAAAAUCCCAUGGACGGAGGAGUCUGGUAGGCUGCAGUCCACGAGGUCGCUAGGAGUUGGACAUGACUGAAGUGACGUAGCAGCAGCAGCAGUCUUUUUAAUAUGUUAUUUUAUGUGUGCUUGUUUAGAUAUACAACUAAUAUAGGUUCAUUGAAGAACUAUUUGAAGAAACAGGUAAAACAAAAAGUUAAAAAUGAAAAUUCCCAUAAUCUCACUGUGACUAACAUUUUAGGGAUGUAUUACUCAUCUGUUGCUGCAUAAUAGAUUACCCCAAAACUUAGUGGUUUAAAACAAAAGAUGUUCAUCAUUUUGCCGUUUUUAUGGGUCAGGAAUUUGGGAGCAGCUUAGUUGAGCGGUUCUGGCUCAGGAGCUCUCAUAAGGUUGGAACCAUAUGAAUGAGAUUAACCUAGGGCUGGAGGAUCUGAUUCCAAGGUGACUCACUCACCAGUCUGUUGGCUGGAGGCCUUAGUUCCCCCGCACAUGGAUUCUCUGUAGGACUGCUUGAGUAUCUUCGCAGCAUGGCAACUGGCUUCUGCCCGAACAAGUGAUGCAAGGGGAAGAGCAAAGAGGAGGCUGCAGUAUCAUUUAUGACCUAGUCUUGAAAGUCACACCCUGUCCCUUCCACCACACUCUUAUUUGUUAGAAGAAAAUCACUAAGUCAAGUCCAUACUCAAGGGGAGAGGAUUUAACUUCCAACUCUUGAAAGAAAAAGAAUUUUUUUGGAAAAAGAACAAAGGACAUAUAUUAAAAAUAUCACAGAGAAUCUCUAGUCAUCACGAAGCAACUAAGCCUGUGUGCCACAACGAUUGAGCCUGUGCUCUAGAAUCUGGGAGCCCCUGGGAGCUGUGACUACUGAGCUGGCGUGCUACAGCUACUGAAGCCUGUAUGUCUAGAGCCUGUGCUCCACAACCAGAGAUGGUACCACAACGAGAAGCCCUCAAAUGGCAAUGAAGAAUAGUCCCUGCUCACUGCGACUAGAGAGAGCCCAUGCACAGCAACAAGACCCAAUGCAACCAAAAAAUGUGUAUAAAAAUAUGUGUAUACAGCUGCAAAUCUUGUUAGAAACAAUUUCAGACAUAGUAAAUAUAUAUAUAUACCUGGUACAGUAUUGGUAUGAAUCACAUGAGUUAAUAUAAUUAAAGAACUUAUAUCUUGACUAUCACAGGAUAAGCAGUAUGUGUUAGCUUUUAUCAUGUCAGCAAGGUUAUUUUAAAAAUAUAUUAAUGGCUUCUGAAUACAUUAUUAUAUGUGCAUUCUGUACUUUAAUCCUAUUAUUAGACAUUUAGGUCAUUUAUCAUGUUUUUAUUACUGUGACACAAUAAAAAAUAUCUGGUCUCCAAACACAUUUGGAGUCAGAAAUGUUG